CCUACGGGGGACAGCAGUGGGGAAUAUUGCACAAUGGGGGAAACCCUGAUGCAGCGACGCCGCGUGAGUGAAGAAGUAUUUCGGUACGUAAAGCUCUAUCAGCAGGGAAGAAAAUGACGGUACCUGACUAAGAAGCCCCGGCUAACUACGGGCCAGCAGCCGCGGUAAUACGUAGGGGGCAAGCGUUAUCCGGAUUUACUGGGUGUAAAGGGAGCGUAGACGGCAGCGCAAGUCUGGAGUGAAAUCCCAUGGCUUAACGAUGGAACUGCUUUGGAAACUGUGCAGCUAGAGUGCAGGAGAGGUAAGCGGAAUUCCUAGUGUAGCGGUGAAAUGCGUAGAUAUUAGGAGGAACACCAGUGGCGAAGGCGGCUUACUGGACUGUAACUGACGUUGAGGCUCGAAAGCGUGGGGAGCAAACAGGAUUAGAUACCCGGGUAGUC
rnacentral:rRNA from 1 species